AUAUAAUAGCAGAGUUUUCUCUCAUCUCAGAGCAUCCAUAUCAGCAAAAAUUAACAAAUUCGUUGGACUUUAUACAAACCCAAAUAAUAUAUUUUUUUAAAGUUCCAUUGAUAGAAUCCCAAAUAUAAGUUUUAAAAAUCAACAUAAGUCCAUUUGAAUAGAAAUAGCUGGAGAAAAAUGUUGUAGUCGUCUACCACAUCAUCUCUUCGGGAACCGUCUGAUUCACGAUUCGGCUUCUCUGGAAUUUUUCUUCGUCAAGGUCCCAUGGCUGGUAGAAAACAAAAGUUUUAAUUUUUUUCGAAGUUCAGCACCAAACGGUUUUAAUUUGAACCACGCUCUGGAUCCGCUGUAUCUCCUGAGGAUGUUUUUAUUGCCUCGGCUGGUUCCUGGAAGCUUGCCGGAUUUGUGCUUUAUCUUUGGAUUUUUAAUUUAAUUGCAGAAUGUUUUUAUUACCUCGGCUGGUUCCUGGAAGCUUGUCGGAUUUGGUAUACUAUUUCGGAAGCACAUGAUGGGAAUUUGGAUAACAUGCAAUCGUUUCACUAAUAUGUGGUGAUGUAUGUAGACGAUCAUGGCUACUCGAUAGCAACCGCAUGGUAACCAAAAUAAUGAGUGCAUCGGUUGGUUCCGACCCUCGCCAAGUUGUGUGGAAAAGAAAUCCUACAAGACAUUGUCCAAACUCUCGACCCGUCAUUGACAACAAUGAUGUAUGGUUUGUCGUUGUCUGAAUUCGGAACUUGAAUCAUCAACAGUCAUCAAGCGUUAUACACAACCUUUCUAUAGGACUACUAUAAAUCCUAUCAAACCACCUACAAACACGAAUUCAUCCUUUCACCAUGACUCAAAAAAGCUGAAACUUUAUAUUAUGGAUUACUUCUUGGUCGUUCCUCCCAACAAGUUGUUGGUCGUCUACUUCGUUUUUGGGAUAGUAAUCGUCUCGGAUCAUCACUUCAGUAGAACGACAGCUCAGCAACAUGGCAUCAAGAUCAACAACCCAUAAUCAAUAAGGAUAAUGAAUUUAUGGGGACAAACCGUCUUUUUCUCAAUGAUAACCUGUUUUCAUGUAUUUGUAAUCUUCUUACAUGUGUUUUAUGUUCUUAGUAGCUAAAUGAUCCUUUUCUCUCUUCAGUGCUCAGUAAUCCGUGCUUUCAUCCCAUCAGCCUAUGCCUUUCAAUUCUGUAAUCUUCAAUGUUGGAGUAUUUGAAGUUGGUCGAUGCACAAGGCUGUGCAAGAUCAUUCGUUUUCUUACUACGACGACAAUGGCUGAAUUGCCAAUACAUCGGGUAGAUUACAUUUGAAGAAAUGGUUUAUUUGCUUCAACGCCUACUGCUACUCCACCAGAAUCAUACUGUCAAACGACUACCGCUACGUGGAGAAGAAAAAUAUGGUGAUCAUCACUUUGAAGCUAGAAUUGUGUUUGUGGCCUCUGUUUUUAACUUAUACUCUGUUUUGUUUGUUAUUCAUACACGUUUAUUUUCCAAAUAAAUUUCACAAUUUUAAUAAAA